rnacentral:rRNA from 1 species
UACAGAGGGUGCGAGCGUUGUCCGGAAUCACUGGGCGUAAAGGGCGCGUAGGUGGCCUGGUAAGUAGGGGGUGAAAUCUCGAGGCUCAACUUCGAGGCUGCCUCCUAAACUGUCAGGCUUGAGCAGAGUAGAGGCAGGUGGAAUUCCCGGUGUAGCGGUGGAAUGCGUAGAGAUCGGGAAGAACAUCGGUGGCGAAGGCGGCCUGCUGGGCUCUUGCUGACACUGGAUGCGCGACAGCGUGGGGAGCAAACAGG